GACGAACGCUGGCGGCGUGCUUAACACAUGCAAGUCGAACGGAAAGGCCCUGCUUUUGUGGGGUGCUCGAGUGGCGAACGGGUGAGUAACACGUGAGUAACCUGCCCUUGACUUUGGGAUAACUUCAGGAAACUGGGGCUAAUACCGGAUAGGAGCUCCUGCUGCAUGGUGGGGGUUGGAAAGUUUCGGCGGUUGGGGAUGGACUCGCGGCUUAUCAGCUUGUUGGUGGGGUAGUGGCUUACCAAGGCUUUGACGGGUAGCCGGCCUGAGAGGGUGGCCGGCCACAAUGGGACUGAGAGACGGCCCAGACUCCUACGGGAGGCAGCAGUGGGGAAUAUUGCACAAUGGGCGGAAGCCUGAUGCAGCAACGCCGCGUGCGGGAUGACGGCCUUCGGGUUGUAAACCGCUUUCGCCUGUGACGAAGCGUGAGUGACGGUAAUGGGUAAAGAAGCACCGGCUAACUACGUG
rnacentral:rRNA from 1 species